rnacentral:rRNA from 1 species
AGUGGGGAAUAUUGCACAAUGGGCGCAAGCCUGAUGCAGCCAUGCCGCGUGUAUGAAGAAGGCCUUCGGGUUGUAAAGUACUUUCAGCAGUGAGGAAGGUGGUGCAGUUAAUAGCUGUAUCAUUUGACGUUAGCUGCAGAAGAAGCACCGGCUAACUCCGUGCCAGCAGCCGCGGUAAUACGGAGGGUGCGAGCGUUAAUCGGAAUUACUGGGCGUAAAGCGCAUGCAGGUGGUUUGUUAAGUCAGAUGUGAAAGCCCGGGGCUCAACCUCGGAAUUGCAUUUGAAACUGGCAGACUAGAGUACUGUAGAGGGGGUAGAAUUUCAGGUGUAGCGGUGAAAAUGCGUAGAGAUCUGAAGGAAUACCGGUGGCGAAGGCGGCCCCCUGGACAGAUACUGACACUCAGAUGCGAAAGCGUGGGGAGCAAACAGGAUUAGAUACCCUGGUAG